GACGAACGCUGGCGGCGUGCUUAACACAUGCAAGUCGAACGGAAAGGCCCUGCUUUUGUGGGGUGCUCGAGUGGCGAACGGGUGGGUAACACGUGAGUAACCUGCCCUUGACUUUGGGAUAACUUCAGGAAACUGGGGCUAAUACCGGAUAGGAGCUCCUGCUGCAUGGUGGGGGUUGGAAAGUUUCGGCGGUUGGGGAUGGACUCGCGGCUUAUCAGCUUGUUGGUGGGGUAGUGGCUUACCAAGGCUUUGACGGGUAGCCGGCCUGAGAGGGUGACCGGCCACAUUGGGACUGAGAGACGGCCCAGACUCCUACGGGAGGCAGCAGUGGGGAAUAUUGCACAAUGGGCGGAAGCCUGAUGCAGCAACGCCGCGUUCGGGAUGACGGCCUUCGGGUUGUAAACCGCUUUCGCCUGUGACGAAGCGUGAGUGACGGUAAUGGGUAAAGAAGCACCGGCUAACUACGUG
rnacentral:rRNA from 1 species